AAUAGAAGUGUAAAGUAUACCUCCAAACUCAUUUUACAAGUCCAGCAUUACCCCAAUACCAAACACAGAGAAGGACACUACAUUAAAAAAGAGGAGUAUAGGG